rnacentral:sRNA from 1 species
AUUCUGCCCAAGCGGGGAAGGAUGAGAAGCUUCGACCAAGGUUCGACUUGAGCGCCAGCGAGAGAGCGUUGCCGCAGGCAACGACCCGAAGGGCGAAGCGCGCAGCGCUGAGUAAUCCUUCCCCUACCACCA